AAAGCGUGCGCAGGCGGUUUUGUAAGACAGGUGUGAAAUCCCCGGGCUUAACCUGGGAACUGCGCUUGUGACUGCAAGGCUAGAGUACGGCAGAGGGGGGUGGAAUUCCACGUGUAGCAGUGAAAUGCGUAGAGAUGUGGAGGAACACCGAUGGCGAAGGCAGCCCCCUGGGCCUGUACUGACGCCCAUGCACGAAAGCGUGGGGAGCAAACAGGAUUAGAUACCCUGGUAGUCCACGCCCUAAACGAUGUCAACUAGUUGUUCGUAGAGGUAACUCUGUGAGUAACGCAGCUAACGCGUGAAGUUGACCGCCUGGGGAGUACGGCCGCAAGGUUAAAACUCAAAGGAAUUGACGGGGACCCGCACAAGCGGUGGAUGAUGUGGAUUAAUUCGAUGCAACGCGAAAAACCUUACCUACCCUUGACAUGCCUGGAAUCUUGCUGAGAGGCGAGAGUGCCUUCGGGAA
rnacentral:rRNA from 1 species